AUUGAACGCUGGCGGCAUGCCUUACACAUGCAUGUCGAACGGCAGCACGGGGUGCUUGCACCUGGUGGCGAGUGGCGAACGGGUGAGUAAUACAUCGGAACAUGUCCUGGUAGUGGGGGAUAGCCCGGCGAAAGCCGGAUUAAUACCGCAUACGAUCUACGGAUGAAAGCGGGGGACCUUCGGGCCUCGCGCUAUAGGGUUGGCCGAUGGCUGAUUAGCUAGUUGGUGGGGUAAAGGCCUACCAAGGCGACGAUCAGUAGCUGGUCUGAGAGGACGACCAGCCACACUGGGACUGAGACACGGCCCAG
rnacentral:rRNA from 1 species